AAAAUUAUGUAGCACUUUCUUGUAACACUUUGAUAUUAUGUAUCACUUGGUUGUAACACUUUGAUUUUUUUUUUUAAUUUCUUUUUUCUUAUCAAAACCGUUUACCUGCUUCAAAAUAAAAUAACCCCUCAUUCAAUCGACCCUCCAUAUAGGUAUAUACUAACGAUAACCUCCCUCCUUCCCUUCCUCGUAUUUAUCCCUUCCUCGGCUUCCACUGCACCUCCUCUCCUUUGCUUCCACCGCUACCAUCUUCUCGCUCCCGGUGCUCCAUCUUAGCCCUCGUCCAGCACAGCCUACCUGCAUAGAUCAGAGUUAUUGCUCCAACUCAAAGAUGUACACAACAGCUCGACAGCCCGUGCUCCAAUUGAAGAGACAACAAUGGCCACCUAUUAGCUUCCGUCCUCGGCCGCUUCCACCUUAAAGUCAAGGUUAUGGUUAAUUGUUUCCUCUCCCUUCCAUUAUCAACAAGAAUUUGAGUUAGCUAAAUUUAGGUGAUAUAGGUAUUAACUUUAAGAUAUGGGUAAUCAUUGUAAGAGUGAUUGUACUAAAGGGUCAAUCACAUGCUUUGUUAUAGAAGUAAGGAAUCAGAGGAAAGAUCGUGACCGUCAUACUAAUAGAACAACAAUGGCAUUAGACUAUUCGAUGAAUGAAGAUGCGACUACAAUGAUGAGGACGGAGGACAAGAUGGAGGAGUUAGUGAAGAGCGCUCAACAAGAAGUCAUGAUAAAGGAAAGAGUGGGAGUUUGGUGUUUUGUGCGGGAGGAACUGAGUUAUUUUCUUCGGAACUAAUUGAUGAGAGGUUCAGCUGAAUAGUUAGGAAGAGGGACUAUUAGUACUAUGUAUAGAACAAUACUUAAUAGUCUUUUUGUUUGGAUUAAUAUAUACUUUAGCCAAACAUAAAAGAUGGUGUUUAUUAUUGUCUAUAAAAAUAUAUCAAUUUAAUUAUUGUCUA